rnacentral:rRNA from 1 species
UACGUAGGGUGCAGGCGUUAAUCGGAAUUACUGGGCGUAAAGCGUGCGCAGGCGGCUCCUUAAGUCAGAUGUGAAAGCCCCGGGCUUUACCUGGGAACUGCGUUUGAAACUGGGGAGCUGGAGUGUAGAAGAGGGGGGUGGAAUUCCAGGUGUAGCAGUGAAAUGCGUAGAUAUCUGGAGGAACACCGAUGGCGAAGGCAGCCCCCUGGGCUAACACUGACGCUCAUGCACGAAAGCGUGGGGAGCAAACAGG